AAAUGUCAUAAAUACAAAGCUAGAAAUACAGUCGAGAAUCAUUAUUCACGUAAAGGGGAAGUUGUAUUAAUAAAUGAACGAUCGGUUUGGAAAUCCAAAGUAUUUGUGCCGACCCACUCCCAUACACGGGUCCAUUCGCCGUCUACUUCUGAUUCACGAGUUCUUACACUGCCAACUUGUUCAACACGUUCGACUAUUGCUUCCCAAAGAGUUCGAGCAGUUGCUUUCGUCAUAUGAAUUUGUUCCAAUGGGCCAUUUCCAUGAAAGAGUAUAUCAUGCAUUUCGAUUAGUGGUAUAACGGGUUCUUGAGAUCGAGACAUUUGAUAAUUUGCUUUCUGUCUCUUCAAAGAUUCUACACAGAAUCGAGAAGCCGAUGGUAGAUACUUUGCUACGAUACUGCGAGUACGAAAAAAAUUGAUGAGCUUAAAAAUAACUCCUGACAACGCAAGGAUUCCAAAUAAAAAAACUUUGUUCCUCCAAACAAAUUUUAUCAGUUGCUGUUUUAAACGACACCGCAAAGGAAUACCUGCCCAGCUAUCGUAGCAAAUUAAUUUUGAAUCCAUGACAACUUCAUUCGUUUCAGAAAGUACUGCCAAAGAAGCUUUAAAUAAGUCCUCAAACAUUUCAAGGCCAAGGGUUGGAGAUUUUCUUUCAAGAAGCGUAUCAUGUAAUAAUCCUAACGCAAAUGGUUUUGAUGGGAAGGAGAUAUGAUCAGAUGAUAUAUUAAGAUUAUCGGCGACAUAAGGGUGCGCAUUGUACGACAUAUUUCGUUCCAGCAAAUCUGACGAGUUAUUGCUACAAUGCAAAAUUGCAUUCCAGGAUCUUAAUACACUUAAACAUUCUUCACGAAAAAUAUUAACACUUUCUUCUCUAGAAGUAUCACUAACGCAAUACUUGGAGGGCCAAAAUCCUAAACUUGAAUACCAUGGUUCGUAGAGGACAUAUCCGGGCUUGCAUUCAACGUAAUUUGGAGAGGGACAUAUUGCAUUCGGAGGGCAAGUUCUACACAAUGAUGGAAAACUUAUUCCAAGAAUUGAAGCAGAACUUCCACUGGCACCCGAAUCACAGAAUCCUGCUGUAAACAUUUUCUCCCGUAAUAAAGCCAGAAAAAUUGCUGCCACCACUCCUAAUAAAAUCAUAAAAAUAUGCACUAAAUAAGAAGAAGAUAUCGCGCUGAUUCC